rnacentral:lncRNA from 1 species
CUUUUUAGGGCCACACCCACGGCAUAUGGAGGUUCCCAGGCUAGGGUUCUAAUUGGAGCUACAGCUGCUGGACUACACCACAGCCAUAGCAACGCUGGAUCCUUAACCCACUGAGCAAGGCCAGGGAUCGAACCUGCAACCUCAUGGUUCCUAGUCAGUUUUGUUUCUGCUGUGCCACAAUGGGAACUCCCUGCUCAUCCAUUCUACAUGUCAUAGUUUGCCAUCUGCUAACCCCAAAUUCCCAGUCCAUCUCACUCCCUCUCUCCUCCCCCAAUACAAUACUGUUUUGAUUACUAAAGUUUUGUAAUACAGUUUGAAAUCAGGAAGUGUGAUGCUUCCAGCAUUGUUCUCAAAAUUGCUUUGGUUAUUCAAGGUCUGUUAGGGGUCCAUAAAACAUUUCAGACUGUUCUAUCUCUGUGAAAAAUAUCACUGGAAUUUUGAAAGAGGUUGCAUCAAAUCUAUAGAUAGUUUGGGAGUAUUAUGGACAUUUUAAUGAUAUUAAUUCUUCCAAUAAAUAAAUAUGAGAUAUCUUUCUAUUUAUUUAUGUUUUCUUUAGUUUCUUUCAUCAAAGUCUUGCAGUUUUCAGUGUGCAGAUCCUUCACCUCCUUGGUUAAGUUUAUUACUAAUUAUUUUUAUUUUUAUUUUUUAUUUAUUUAUUUAUUUGUCUUUUUGCCCUUUCUUGGGCCGCUCCCGCGGCAUAUGGGCGGUUCCCAGGCUAGGGGUCAAAUCAGAGCUGUAACCACCAGCCUAUGCCAGGGCCACAGCAACGCAGGAUCUGAGCCGCGUCUGCGACCCACAUCACAGCUCGUGGCAACGCCGGAUCAUUAACCCACUGAGCAAGGGCAGGGAUCAAAGCCGCAACCUCAUGGUUCCUAGUCGGAUUCGUUAACCACUGUGCCAGGACGGGAACCCCCACUAAUUAUUUUUAAAUGUUUUUGAUGCUACUGUGAAUGGGAAUGUUUUCUUUAUUUCUUCUUCAGAUAUUUUGUUCUUUGUAAAUAGUCUAUUAUUUUCCCAUUUGUCUGCAAUACUCUCUAAGUCAUGAGUCAAAUUUUUUAUAUUUGUAUGGAUCUGUUUCCUGGGCUCUUCACUACAUUCCAUUCAUUUCAUUGUCUAUCCCUGCACUAUAUACUCCUAUUUUUUUUAUUUUUUGGCCACACCCACAGCGUAUGGAAGUUCCUGGGCCAGGGAUCAAAUCUGAGCCACAGCUGUGACCUACACCACAGCUGUGGCAAUGCCAAACCCUUAACCCACCGUGCCACAGUGGGAACUCCUAUAUAUUCUCUUUUAAAUUCUAUACUCCGAAUGAGUCUUGAUGUUUGGCACCUUCUUCAGGAGUAGCUUAAAUGUUCUUGGCCCUUUGCUCUUUCACAUAAAUUUGAGAAUCACCUUGUAAAGUCUGAUGAAAAGCCUAUUGGAAUUUUUAUUGGAAUUUCACUGAAUUUUCAGAUUGCAAAAGUUGACAUUUUUACAGGAAUCACUUUCUAUCCAAGGACACAGAAUAUAAUUCUCCAUUUGUUUGAAUCUUUUUAUCAACGUUCAUUAAAAGUAUAUCAUUCUCUUGGAGUUCCCAUCUUGGCGCAGUGGUUAAUGAAUCCGACUAGGAACCAUGAGGUUUCAGGUUCGAUCCCUGGCCUUGCUCAAUGGGUUAAGGAUCUGGUGUUGCCGUGAGCUGUGGUGUAGGUCACAGAUGUGGCUCGGAUCCCGCAUUGCUGUGGCUGUGGUGUAGGCCGAUGGCUACAGCUCUGAUUAGACCCCUAGCCUGGGAACCUCCAUAUGCCGUGGGAAGCCGCCCUAGAAAAAAACAAAACAAAAAAAAAAAGGUAUAUCACUCUCUCCACACAGGUUUUUGUUAAAUAUAUUCUUGAGUAUGUUCUUUUUUUUUUUUUUUUUUUCGUCUUUUUGCUAUUUCUUGGGUCGCACCCGCGGCACAUGGAGGUUCCCAGGCUAGGGGUCCAAUCGGAGCCGUAGCCACCGGCCUACGCCAGAGCCACAGCAAGGCGGGAUCCGAGCCGCAUCUGCAACCUACACCACAGCUCACGGCAAUGCCCAGAUCGUUAACCCACUGAGCAAGGGCAGGGACCGAACCUGCAACCUCAUGGUUCCUAGUCGGAUUCGUUAACCACUGCGCCACGACGGGAACUCCGAGUAUGUUCUUUAUUGUUAUUGCAAAUGAUGUAUUUUUUAUUUUUAAUUGUAAAGUUAAAAAUAGCUAUAAUGAGUAUGUAAACAUAUAUGUACAGUUUAAAGUGUAAUUAAAAAGCUGUCACUCACAUAACCUCCAUCCAGAUGAAAUAAAACUUUGUCCUAUAAAAGUUCCCUGUGCCCACCUCCAAUUACAUCGUCCUUUCUCCACCCAGGAAAUAUUGACAUUCCUUCCCUCAUUUCAUAGUUUUACCACCAUUGCAUGCAACUUUAACGAAUUUAGUUUUGCCUGUUUUUAACCAUAUACAAACAGCAUCAUCCUAUAUGUAUUAUUUUAGACUUCUCUUAGUCAUUUCUAUUUUGGGAGAUACAUCCAUCUUAAUACAUCUAGCUGUUUUUAUUUAGUUUCACUAAUACACAUUUCAUUGUAUGAAUAUAAACCAUAUACAUUUUUUAACCUAUUCUCCUCUUAUUGGGUAUUGUUUUACUUCAAGUUUUUGGUUAGUAAAAACAAUGCUACUACAAAAAUUUAUGCUCAUAAAUAAGAUAUAAGGUAUAUUUUCUGUGACACAAGUACAGAUAUUUUUCUCGGUCAGUGAUAGUUAAAAUGUGGCACCUAGCCAUCCCUGAGACUCCUUUAUGACUGCUAGAAGGGUCUCCCUUUUCCAAGUAUGUACCUUUCUUUUUUUGCUUUUUAGGGCCGAACCUGUGGCAUAUGGACGUUCCCAGGCUAGAGGCUGAAUCAAAGCUGCAGCUGCCAGCCUACACCGCAGUCCACCACUGAGCUUGGCCCGGGAUUGAACCUGCAUCCUCAUGGAUACUAGCUGGGUUUGUAACCUGCUGAGUCACAACGGGAAUUCCCCAAAUGAGUAUCUGAGUUCAAAUUUUCUUCAUAUCCUUCAGCCAAAACAGUAUGUCGCAACAUAUUGAAAGCAGAAGCAGAUGUGAAUACUUACCUGGCAGGAGCAAUACCAUGAUCACAAAGGUGGUUUUCCCAGGGCGAGGCUUAUUCAGUGCUCUCUGGAUGUUCUGACCCUUGUGAUUUCCCAAAUGUAGGAAACUCAACUGCAUAAUUUGUGGUAAUGGGGGAAAAAAAAAGAAGAAGCACAUAUGAGAAUCUAGCUGUCCUUUCUAUUAAGCAAACAUUAAAAAGGUCUUCUAAAAUGUAAAACAGUAGUUGUUUUAUACAAUAUAGUUACUUUAUUAAAAAUUUUGUUUCCAAUGGGUUUAUUAUUUUUAAAAAUUAAUCAUAUAAAUACUGAAAAGUCUUCUGUUUUAACUAGUCAAACAGCAAAUAGCUAUAACCCAAAUAAACAUACUAUUUGGUGUCCUCCACAAUUUUUAAGAGUGUGAAACAGUCCUGAGUUUGGGAACUGUUCUUGUAAGCCAUAGUUUUCAAUCUGGAGCCGCUAUUUAAGGUGUACCCAAGGUAUAGAUAGUUUAGAGUCUAUUUCCAGAUCCCUACUUUCUAUCUGUCCUGUGUCCUAGCUUCAUGGAAUUCUUUCCUACCUCCCCCUUAACAAGUGACAGUCUUGCCAGAGUUGUCUUGCCUGACACCUUCUGGUCAAAACAAAAAGUGCCAGCCUCAAAAUCUAAAGAACAGAUUUCAGCAACUGAGGAGAAAACCCCUGAGCCCAGAGAGGAGCACUUUUUUAGGAAAUGAUGUUUUACCAAUGCCCUGACGCCCCGGAGAUCUGCUGUGGGAUAAAAAAGGACAUUGACUCUAAAGUUGAAGAGUGAUUCAUGUGAGCCACCCUGACACAGUCAUUUAUACUAUAAGGUUAAAAAAAAAAAUCUGUAUCAAAUAACUUUUAAAGUAUUUUCAAUAAGUAUAAUAUUUCAUUUUUCUUUUUUUGUAGGGCUACACCCGUAGCAUAUGGAGGUUCCCAGGUGAGGCUCUAAAAAGACAAAAACAAACAAACAAACAAAAAAAAACCUUUAAAGCAUACAUAUAUUAAGAUAAAACUUGGAGGCAGGGUGGCUUGGAAAUAUCAAUUCAAGGAUAAGCAGUGAUAUAAACCAGAAAUUAAUACAACAGGUAGGAGUUCCUGUUUUGGUGCAGUGGGUUAAGGUCCCAAUGUUGUCUCUGUGAGGAUAUGGGUUUGACCCCUGUCCUUGCUCAGUGACUUAAGGAUCCAGCAUUGCUGCAAGCCGUGGAUGUGGCUCAGAUCCAGCAUUGCUGUGGCUGUAUCUUUGGCCACACCUGCAGCUCUAAUUGGACCCCAGACCUGGGAAUUUCUACAUGCUGCAGGUGC